CUUUACCCUUUUCUCAAGUAGAAGCUGCCGUUUGAUCUUCCAUUCUUCUUCAGCUGAUUACUCGAAAAGGAGAGAAACACAAUAAGAACAUGGCCAGAGUACUAAUAUCGAGUAAUAUUGAUGUAAAUUUCAAUGAAAAGAUAGAAAUAAGAUAUACCUGGUGAUUUUGCAGGUUUUGUUGCUGCAUUCUGAAUUCUGAGUCCUCCACAAAUGCUAGAGCCAGUUCUUCUGCUGGAAUAUCCAACGGCUUUUGCAGUAAAACAAGAACUCGACUCACGAUUUGAAUUCGAAUGGUAAGCAAGAGCAGAAUAAUGGAAUUUAUGAUAUAAAGAGGAGGAAGAAAGAGCAGCCAUGAUCUUCAAAGUGAAAGAAUUUCUUCAACAGGUGCUAAUGAAGGUAAUGCUUUUUCCUUUCUCUGCUGCACUGAAGAUUUUUUGAAUGUCUAGUGAGGAAAUUAGUGGGCCAUGAAUAGAAGAAAACUGAGGAUAUUUUAGCUUCCUCACAAUCUGAACUUGUGGCGCUGCUUUAUUGAAUUUCUUCCUGUUUGGAUUUCUUUGAUCCCAUCCAUUUGUUUUUAAGUCAGCAGGAUAAAAUCUAUUCCUGAUCAUACUUGAAAUUGAUCUUUCUACUUUCACCUAGUAGAAUAGAGGUGUAAAUCCCCCGGCCUAAAAUCACUCGGGCUCUACUGGAAAUCAUAUUUUUAUUUUGUUAUUCAUACAAAAAUUUAUAUGCCAACCUUUCAAAAUAAUUAUUUAUUAUUGACCAGUGUGACUCAUGCUAGGCUGGGCCUAUGGACUUUUUUAUUUUAUUUUAUUUUUUAAUACCGACCUACACUGGCUGCUGGCCUCUCUAUGGUCGAGCAUGGUCACAAGCCAGACCAAUCUUCUAACAUAUUUGGAUGGCUCGUCACAUCGGUCUUACGAAAAGAUUAAAGAAUUUGAUCCCGUCGAUUAAGGUUUCCUAUUAUUAUUUAAGGAAGAACAUAGAUAUGUGUCACGAAGGACAUGAAUCCGCUCCUAAUUUAUUGUGGUGAAUUCAUGUAUCAGUAACAUGUGCCAUGAUGCUUGUGAACAAAAGGGAGCCACAGCUCUAAUUUGAUUAUCUUCUUAUAAUUACUGUACCUCACAAGACACAUUAAUUGCUUGAUCUACAGUAUUUCAAUCUUUAACUGCCUCAUUUAGUCCUAUACACGUGACCCGCUAUUAGGAACAGAAUUGCAAUAACUAAAUGAUGGUGUGCAAUAUCGGUCGGCCAUAGUGGUGAAACAAAAUCUCUCUCAUUUCUCCCUUGAAUAAAUUGUUUUUUUUCCCAAGCCAGGAAAAAUAGAUUAGAUAUAAAUGAGUACAAACAAAGAAAAAAAAGGGAAUGCUUUUUUAAGUGUAACCUGAUCGCAAUAUGUAUGAUCAUGACUUUUCCCAAUAGAUGAAUUAAUCUUCAAUUCAUUUCGCCUUCCCGACUAGUGAAUCAUUAAGAUUCAUUUGAAUGGACCCAUUCAUAAACAAUUGGAUGAUGAGAAAAUGAUCAACAAUUGAAGUCCUGUCAUCUCAUUAACUUAGCUUAAGAAUUCACCACUCAAAUAAUAUAUAAAAUAACCAUUCACUCAAAGUAAGUAAUCACAACGCUUUCAAUAAAGUUACAGGGAGCAAUACUCCAUGAUUAUACAGGGAGCAAUACUCCAUGAUUAUGUAUAAAUCCUCGUCGGUAUUUUAAGCAAUGUUGUAAAAUGCACGCAUAUGCUUUGCAUAUACUUGCAUAUGCUUGAUGUAUUUUCAAAACGCCUCAUAUAUGAGGUAUGUGCAUGAUAAUACAGUCAAUCCAAUUUGUAGAUCACAUAUACAUGUUUAAAUGACAAAAUGUGCCUGCAUUUGUGUUAAAAAUUAUAUCAAAAUUAGCCUAACAAAAUCCCACCCAUUUUUAGAACUUAAAAAAUUAAAAUUGAGCCCAACAAAUAUUAAAUUAACCCAAAUCAUCCGAUUUAUGAAUUAUAUACAACAAUGGUAGGGUUUUGAUGUUUAGAAAAAAUUAAUAAAAAAAAAAAAUUCAUAUAUAUCCAGGUCGGAGCCUCCUCCUCCAUCGCCCUUUCUCUAAUUUUACUAGCAAGUGAUGCUAAUAAUGAACAAGCUUCAAUUGUUGAUGGUUGUGAUGAUGAGAAUGAGGUUAACAAUGAUAUCGUACCUUCUUUUCUGUUAGGCAGAUAGUGUUUAUCUUUAUGAUUCUCGGUUAUUUUUCUUAAAAAUCUUGGGUUCAUGUAAAGCAUCCCUAUACGUCCCAAUUCUGAUGGUCGACAAUCAAAACUUGAUUCCAAAUUAUGUAAAUUAUAUUGCAAUAACUUACCAAUUCGAUAGGAUGAGAAAUUAGUUUACAUAAAUGACUAUAGACAGAGCAAUAAAUAUUGAAAAUUCACUAGAUUCGGCUUUCGAUUGAGAGAUCACUACUGCAGUCGGCUUCGUUUAGCAUGUAAAGAAGCUGCUUCCAAAUCACCAAUGAAAAAGAGGAUUCUGUCCAAAAUACUUGAACAGGGUUCCUCUUCAGACUUUGUUCCCGAGUAGCCAUUCUCCGAAUUCAACGAGUCAAAUGCUCUUGCUUCCGAUCUUCUUGAACCCAAAUAUCGCUGAAUUUCACCUUGAUGAACUAAGUAAUAAUUGUCUCCUUCCCUUACAAUGUUUAAUCCCCUGAAAUGAAAAUUUCGAAAGUCACAAGGUAUGAUAAAAUACUGCUAGUAAGCACCAUACCCAGCAGUUGGAGUUAAUCCAGGGAAGAAAUGAGAAUCACUACAUUCACCCUUUUCUCGUUUCAUGUCUAAUAAAUAAAGAAGCAUACAAAGCAAAUCGAAUACCAACAAAUUAAGACUUCUCUAAUAUAAUAAAUUUGGGAAUGUAUAUACAAGUCCUUUUCUGUUUCUCUGUUUACUUCAUUGCUAGAUCUUCAAACCAUAUACCAGUAACAUGGCUAUAAAUACUAACCAUGCAGAAAAAUGCCCACCCCUUUUUUUCCAAACUGCAAUCCAAAAUUAUGUAAAUCUUUAUUGCAAACAAGGGAAUUACUUUCCGAUGCGUUAAAUGUUGUAAGGCUGGCAGAAUUCAUGACAUAUAGCCAAUCUCAUACAAAAAGAAAUUCUUGAAACAUAAAAUUUGAAACUCACAAUCCAACUCGAUCACAUCGGUCUUGAACAACAUAGACAUCUUUCCACGACUUUGGAUGCACCGGGGCAUAGAAUGUGGCGUUAUCAACCCCCCAUCUUUCCUUGAAGAUAUUAGACCAUAACGCAUUGUCUGAGGCCAACACACUCCAUUUCUUGCAUACUUCAACCACAAAAGUCUUAUUGUUAUAUAUUAGUGCAUCGAAAGAGGACAAGUCGAUACAGCAUCUAAUGCUAUUUAUAUCAUCACAUAGAAUAGUGAUUACAUUCAAUGAAUUACUUGGAGUUUAGAGAACAAUUCGAAGAAGUAUGCUGUCUAACAACUCAAUGUCAAUGACUCCGAAUAUAACUUUAUUGUCAUGUAAUCACUAGUUAAAUCCGGAUUGAAAGAUAAGAAUUCGCAUAAGCAGGGUGGAUUUGAAAUCAGUAAUUUGUUCAAAUUCAAAUAAUUCAUGAUCAAAGGCAACAGAAUUUCAAAAACUGUAUACAUAUAGAUCCAAAAGAUUCAGGCUUUGACAGUUUGAUCUGCUAAGAUUCAAAUGACAAAGUGGGUGUUUGGUUGGGAUCAAAAUUAGAUUUUGUAGUAGAUUGUGAUAGAAAUUUUUAAAAUUUGUGGUUGAUCCAUAAUAUUCAUUGUUUGACUUUAACUUAAAUUAAAAUCAAAUUUUAAUCCGAAUCAAACAAGUUCAAAAGAUCAAUCCACAUGAAAGAACAGUAUCCACCUUUAAAUCUUCAGAACCUGAUUAAAGAAAAAAACAAAGGAUUCGUUCAAGGAAAAAAUCAAACAAUUUGAACGCAAUUCCACAAACCCAAUUCAGAUCUUAUCAAGAAUUCAUCAUUCAAAACACAAAAUCCAUAUGAAUUCAUAUUGACAAUUCCCAGAGCAGAAUUGGAAACUAAAAAUGGAUCCAAGUUGAUUUCUACUGACCCAAUUGAGCAGUUGCAAGAUUCUGAUGAUCCAACCAACAGAAAAUUUUGAGACAAAGAUCUGCUGGCAAUCCGUCCAUUUUACACCGAUUCUUUUUUCUGGUUGUAGAAACUGUGAUAAUAUAAAAUUCUUAAUUUCUGUUCCUUUUUUCUUCUGGUAAUCCGUCCAUCUAUUUUGCUUAUACGUGGACCUCGCCAAUCUGGCCACGAGUGAAUUUGACCGUAGCUCGUUUCGGACAAGCGGAGCGUUUCCCGGUCCUGACACGUUUGGAUACGAUAAAAUUUUGAUUUCAAAUAUUCCUUUCGUAUAGGCUCUACUCGUGAUAUUCUCAAUUUCGGUCUUUUCUAAUCGAACAUGGAGCCCCAACUCUAAUAACAACUCUAUCACUCAAGAUUUGACCUAAAAAUCAUCCGAAAUACUAUUUGUAUAGACUUUAUUUCGAAAUACCCCUUGUUUCUUGAUGCUCCGAAUCACAUUUCUUACUAGAAAGAUCUAUCUGAUAAGUUUUUAAUUUAUUGUCUAGCCGCCACAUUAGCUUUUCAUCACACGUGGAAUUUUUCGUUAAUUAUAGGUAAUUGAUUUUGAGUGCCACAUUGUCUCUUUAUUCAUAUCUUGUAUUUUGUGAAAAAUGAUAUUGAGUAGCAUUGUGCUCUUUUGCAUUUGAUCGCUUUAAACGUUUUCCUAAGCCCCUGUACGAUGGCCACUAUAUUAAAAAAAAAAAAAAAAUUAGAGAGAGAGAGAGAGAGUUUUGAAUAGUAAUUUUUAGAGAAUGUAUGAUAAAAAAGAAUAAAAAAAAAAUUUACUUGUAAAAUAUUUUACAGUAUAAAUAUAUGAGAAUGAAAAUUAAAAAAAAUUUAUUUUAAAGAGAGAUAGACAAGGACUAAAUGUAACAAUCAAUAGAAAAAACUUCAAUCGAUCUCAAAACCAUCGAAAACAGAUUUAGAAUAGUAUCCCCUACUAAUCUUUGGCAUCUUAUCGUACAAAAUCACGUGCUAUAUCCAAAUAAUUGAAUAUAAUUCUCCAUUAUGCUACCCAAUCUAAGUUGACAAUGGAAAAGAUUGGUUUCGGAUUCUUUUAUCUUGAUCAUGAAAAAUUGUUCCAUAUUCUAGUUAAUAAUGAACUUUAAUGUGACACUAUUAAUUUCUUUUAACUUAGCUACACUUAAUUAAAUAAAAAAGUGUGAUGAAGAAAACCUCCAUGUAAUCUAUUUCAAAUUUAUUUAUUCAUUUAUGUAUAUGAAAUUCGAUAAACUGAAAAAUGAUAAAAGCGUCUAAACGUGGGCAACGAUGCUCUGUUUUUGUCAUUCAUUUGUCAAAAUUAUGAAUGUUCGUGAUUUUGACAAAAUAAUAAAAUAAACUCGCACGAAAAAGGUUGACACUAAAAUAAAUUUUAAAUAAAACAAUUGUUCCACUUGAUUGUAUGCAAAUAGUUAAACUUUUAAACGAGAUAGUUAAAUAUACGAUUCAUCAAUAUAAAUUUGGUAUGCACAAUUAGAAAAGUCUUAACAGUAUAAUUGAGAAAACUUUUACUUAUUUUUCUAUCUUAAUACCCAAACAUGUCUUGAAAGCCCAAACCAUUUUUCUAUAUAAGGUGGGUUUUGCAGGUUUCUUCAAAUUAAGUGAUUCCUGAGAAGCGAGAAGUAGACACACAUGGUGUGGUAUUGGUUUCGGCUCAUAAUCAUGCAGCUUCUGCAAAAAUGAGCCGAAUCAAUAUCACUCUUGUAUGCUUCUUCUACACAAAUUAUGCCUUUUCUGCAUCAAAAUUAAGCAAACAGUUGCAGGCUAUGCCAAAACCUUUUGCUUAUAAUACUCUUAACAAGCUGAACCGACCAUCAUGGCUACAUAGUUCACCAAGCUGCUCUUUGGCCUUCGUCAAACCUCGGCCCAACCUAGCUCAGCUUGAGAACAGAUUGUCCUUUGUCAAUAACUCAUCCACUCUCACCUAGUAUGACGCGUGACACAAAAAUUAGAACAGUUUCAGUCAACGAUCAUAUGUUCAAAUGUAGUUUUCCAUCAUGUACGUAUGCAAGAGCUACUAAAUGCACUCGUGAACGGUCUUCUUCUUCUGAAGCUUGCGAGCACAAAUACGUAUAUAUACACAUUCUACUAGCACGAGUCAAAUAUCAUUUUACAAGCACCUUAAGACAUUUUAGUCUUGCUGCCCUCAAAAUGAAAAAAACUUCUGCUGCAGAGUGAACAAGUGCAAGUGCAUGAACAGGCACGAGUACACAGUCACAUCCCAGCACGAGUCUAAUAUCAAGAAAUGCAUAUUUUACAAGAACCUUAGAGACAUCAUCUUGGUGCCCUCUAAUGCCAUCUAUCAUUAGUUGUGAUCAUCACUAGUCUGGGUAUAGUGAGUCCAUUGAUUCAUCACUCAAUAGGGUUGCGAUAAUUCAUGUUGCUACUCUAUCAUGAUUAUGCUUUUUCUACUUUCCUUCUGAUGUGAAUGUGGGGGUUGGGGGAGGGGGGGGGGGCACAUCUUGAUCGCAAAGCACAACACCACAAAAGAGUAAACCAGAUUCCAGUAGUCAGACCAUCUAAGAAUAAAAAGAAAAACAUAAUAUUCCACAAAUUGCUCAAGAACUGGCAUACUUGCUUAUCUAAAAGCAUGAAUGACUUGUACGGUUUAGUCAUACACAACUCAUUGAUUCAGCAUAUUUCUUAUGUAUCCAUUUCAACUGAAAAAGUAAUUACUUCAAAAGUUUUACCUAGAUCUCAAUAAUAUUGUGUUCAUCUUUCUCCGAGGCAUAAAUAAUCUGUGUAAUGACUCCAGGUCCUAUAAUCAUUCAUGCACCGCUUAAAUAACUCGUUCUUGGCUUGAAAUUACUACAUUUUCUCCUAACACCAUAUACACAAAAAGCAAACAAGUCCAUAUGGAGGGUGUUCACUUAAUUUUUCUGGAGUCGUAUCAUUAUCAUCAAAAUCCUGAAAAGAUCAUAUGGAUCAACUUGAAAAUACCUCAACACCAAAGAGUUUAUCACAGAAAUCUGGACAAUAAAUUAUUCACGGAGAGUCCCUAAUCACAGGGUAACAACUAUGGAUAUUAAUUAAAUUGAAUGGUUCAGUCACUCAGCCUCCCACAGGUUACAUUUCCACAGAUACAGACACAACAUAAAUCUUACAUGCCCACACAAAACUUUUUUUAUUAGGGGGGUAGAGGGGAGUGAGGUACCAAGUCUUGAACCCUUGACCUCAGUUCUAGAAACAACAAUCAUUAACCAAGACAAACUCGUUGUUGAAAUUUAACUUUGGUAAAUUAUCUUUAUUUUUUGUGUUUGUGUGUGUGUAUUAAUAUAUUAUUUAUUAUUAUUAUUAUUAUUUUUACUUUUCAAUAAAAUUAAUACUUUUUGAGCUGUGAAUGUGAAUUUCGCAGGUAGAAUUCUUUGGACUAGAAGAAUGGUUGGCAGUUAUAUCAAGAUAACUUUGGGUUGUACUAUUUGUUACUAGUGCCAAUGAAACAAAAAAUGCAUAUAGUGGAUUAUAAUGAUUAAU
rnacentral:lncRNA from 1 species